GGGUCACCGGGAGGAGACGCCAUGACCCCAGCCCUCACAGCCCUGCUCUGCCUCGGUGAGAUUUCAAGAUGGGGAGGGGGAGAUCUGAGUCUUGGGGGGACCCCAUCCCACACAUAAGCCCUGGUCCAUCAGGAGACCUCAAAAGCUCAGGAGGCACCAGGGUGGGGACCUGCUCAGGCUUCAGGGCAAAUGCCUCACAGGGAACUCUCUUCCAGGGCUGAGUCUGGGCCCCAGGACCCACGUGCAGGCAGGGCCCCUCCCCAAACCCACCCUCUGGGCUGAGCCAGGAUCUGUGAUCAGCUGGAGAAGCCCCGUGACCAUCUGGUGUCAGGGGAGCCUGGAGGCCCAGGAGUACCGUCUGUAUAAAGAGGGAAGCCGAGAACCACGCGACACACAGAACCCAAUGGAGCCCAAGAACAAGGCCAGAUUCUCCAUCCCAUCCAUGACAGAGCACCAUGCAGGGAGAUACCGCUGUUACUAUCGCAGCCCUGCAGGCUGGUCAGAGCCCAGCGACCCCCUGGAGCUGGUGGUGACAGGAUUCUACAGCACACCCACCCUCUCAGCCCUGCCCAGCCCUGUGGUGGCCUCAGGAGGGAACGUGACCCUCCGAUGUGGCUCACAGAAGGGAUAUGACCAUUUUGUUCUGAUGAAGGAAGGAGAACACCAGCUCCCCCAGACCCUGGACUCACAGCACCUCCACAGUGGGGGGUUCCAGGCCCUGUUCCCUGUGGGCCCCGUGACCCCCAGCCACAGGUGGACGUUCACAUGCUAUGGAUCCUACAGGAACACCCCCCAGGUGUGGUCCCACCCCAGUGACCCCCUGGAGAUUCUGCCCUCAGGCGUGUCUAGGAAGCCCUCCCUCCUGACCCUGCAGGGCCCUGUCCUGGCCCCUGGGGAGAGCCUGACCCUCCAGUGUGGCUCUGAUGUCG
rnacentral:sRNA from 1 species